rfam:Cavia porcellus supercont2_43 genomic scaffold, whole genome shotgun sequence.
UAUAGCUCAGCAGCACAGCACCUGCCUGGCAAGCAGGAGGUCCUGAGUUUGAUUCCCAGUA